GGAACCAGGAUUGAUAAUUCCAGCAACAGAAGGUGUUUCUCUCCCACAAAGGAAAUCAAAGUCGAGCAUCCGUUGGAUAGGAAGCUGCUUGUAGUUGUAGAACAAAGCUUGAGUAGUUUUGGAGAAAAGUUGUCCAGUCGCCAUUAUGCUGAUUUACUCGAAACCAAGUAUGUAUUUGUUCUUGAUUGAUGAAAAAAAUUGAUAUUUUGUCCCCUGUAAGUAGAUUGAGGUGAGUGAAAUAGUUAGGUGGUUGGUAAGUGGUGGUAAACAA
rnacentral:misc_RNA from 1 species